AUGCCUCAGGAACAGAAUAUGGACCUUAAA
rnacentral:piRNA from 1 species